rnacentral:rRNA from 1 species
GACGAACGCUGGCGGCGUGCUUAACACAUGCAAGUCGAACGAAGAGCGAUGGAAGCUUGCUUCUAUCAAUCUUAGUGGCGAACGGGUGAGUAACGCGUAAUCAACCUGCCCUUCAGAGGGGGACAACAGUUGGAAACGACUGCUAAUACCGCAUACGAUCUAACCUCGGCAUCGAGGAUGGAUGAAAGGUGGCCUCUAUUUAUAAGCUAUCACUGCAGGAGGGGAUUGCGUCUGAUUAGCUAGUUGGAGGGGUAACGGCCCACCAAGGCGAUGAUCAGUAGCCGGUCUGAGAGGAUGAACGGCCACAUUGGGACUGAGACACGGCCCAGACUCCUACGGGAGGCAGCAGUGGGGAAUCUUCCGCAAUGGACGAAAGUCUGACGGAGCAACGCCGCGUGAGUGAUGACGGCCUUCGGGUUGUAAAGCUCUGUUAAUCGGGACGAAAGGCCUUCUUGCGAGUAGUUAGAAGGAUUGACGGUACCGGAAGAGAAAGCCACGGCUAACUACGUG